AGUUGCAGACACGAGAUAUGAAGGGACAGGACAAAGCGUCAGACACCGGGUACGGUGAUCCAGCAAGCUCCUGCAGCGUUCCAGAGAUUCGUAGACCAGUGGUUCCAAACCUGGGAGUAAUUACCCCUAAGAGUUGCAGACACGAGAUAUGAAGGGACAGGACAAAGCGUCAGACACCGGGUACGGUGAUCCAGCAAGCUCCUGCAGCGUUCCAGAGAUUCGUAGACCAGUGGUUCCAAACCUGGGAGUAAUUACCCCUAAGAGUUGCAGACACGAGAUAUGAAGGGACAGGACAAAGCGUC